CUCUUAGGGAAAACCAGCACCAAAGUUCUAGAGUCUGGACGUCUGAGAUCAGGGUGCCAGCACUGUCGAGGUCACAGACUGCAGACCUCCUUGUAUCUUCAAAUGGAGGAAAGAGGACAAGAGAGCUCCUGUGGUCCCUUUUAUCAAGAUGAAUGCACAAGGAAAAUGUUGUACAUUUGCACAUUGGAGUACACUUCAGCCAUAAAAAGAAUGAGAUGCUGUCAUUUGCAACAACAGGUCAACAGCAAUCUGAGACACACUCUUCUCAUGGCAGAUUAUGGGACCAUAAAGCAGGAGAAGAGAAAGGAAGCUGCAGUCCCUGUAUAACUCCUAAAUUUUUAAUUUGGAGUUCCUCUUCUUCGGUGCAACAAUCUUUCUGCAUGCACAGAUCCAUGUGGCACUCAUCUCAUCAUUCUGAGGGAAGAAAGAUGCAUAGGGAAUGUUGCAUGUGGUUAUUUCUGCAGAACCCACAGAAAACAAUAAAGCACGAGAGAAAAGAGGAUGGCAGUUUACCCAGGAAACAUAGGUUGUGCAAAGCUUUGCAAUGAUACUCUCAAUUCAGAGCAAUGAAGAACAGAAUGCUGUCUUCCCAUAAUGAUGGCAUUCAAUUAUCACUAGACUUACAAGACUACAGAAAAUUUCUCAAGAACCAGUAAGGAUCAGACAGAGCCAAUGACAAUACUGAAGAAGCUUGCCAGUGGAGAAUGAAAGCUCAGUUACACAAAUUACGUUGUUGAACCAGUGCCAGAAAUAAAAUGUGAUGGACAAACUCAUUAA
rnacentral:lncRNA from 1 species